rnacentral:rRNA from 1 species
AUUCCAGCUCUAAUAGCGUAUAUUAAUGUUGUUGCAGUUAAAAAGCUCGUAGUUGGAUUUUGGAGUUUGACAAGUGGUCUGCCUAAGGUGUGUACUGCUUGUCGGCUCUUCUUUUCUGGGGACCACGCUGCUCUUUAUUGAGGGGUGCUGGGAAUCAGAUCUUUUACUUUGAAAAAAUUAGAGUGUUCAAAGCAGGCCCACGCAUUGAAUACAUUAGCAUGGAAUAAUGGAAUAGGACUUUGGUCUUAUUUUGUUGGUUUCUAAGGCCGAGGUAAUGAUUAAUAGGGAUAGUUGGGGGCGUUUAUAUUCCAUUGUCAGAGGUGAAAUUCUUGGAUUUAUGGAAGAUAAACUACUGCGAAAGCAUUCGCCAAGGAUGUUUUCAUUG